rnacentral:rRNA from 1 species
GCUUCCCUCUUUCUUCGUGCCUAAUACAUGCAAGUCGAGCGAAAACACGAGGAGCUUGCUCCUCUGACGUUAGCGGCGGACGGGUGAGUAACACGUGGAUAACCUACUUAUAUUACUUGGAUAAUUUCGGGAAACCGGAUCUAAUACCGGAGAAUACAUCGUACCGCAUGGUUCAGUAGAUAAUGACGGCUUUGCUGUCACUUAUAGAUGAAUCCGCGCCGGAUUAGCUAGUUGGUAAGGUAACGGCCUACCAAGGCAACGAUGCGUAGCUGACCUGAGAGGGUGAUCAGCCACACUGGAACUGAGACACGGUCCAGACUCCUACGGGAGGCAGCAGUAGGGAAUCUUGCGCAAUGGGCGCAAGCCUGACGGAGCAAUGCCGCGUGAGUGAUGAAGGUCUUCGGGUCGUAAAACUCUGUUAUUAGGGAAGAACAAAUGUGUAAGUAACUAUGGCCGUCUUGACGGUACCUAAUGAGAAAGCACCGGCUAACUACGUG